rnacentral:rRNA from 1 species
UGAGGAAUAUUGGUCAAUGGGCGAGAGCCUGAACCAGCCAAGUAGCGUGCAGGAUGACGGCCCUAUGGGUUGUAAACUGCUUUUAUGCGGGGAUAAAGUGCGUGACGUGUCGUGCAUUGCAGGUACCGCAUGAAUAAGGACCGGCUAAUUCCGUGCCAGCAGCCGCGGUAAUACGGAAGGUCCGGGCGUUAUCCGGAUUUAUUGGGUUUAAAGGGAGCGUAGGCUGUUUGUUAAGCGUGUUGUGAAAUGUAAGAGCUCAACUUUUAGAUUGCAGCGCGAACUGGCAGACUUGAGUGCGCACAACGUAGGCGGAAUUCAUGGUGUAGCGGUGAAAUGCUUAGAUAUCAUGACGAACUCCGAUUGCGAAGGCAGCUUACGGGAGCGCAACUGACGCUAAAGCUCGAAGGUGCGGGUAUCGAACAGG